rnacentral:tRNA from 6 species
UCCUCAGUAGCUCAAUGGUAGAGCAUUCGGCUGUUAACCGAAGGGUUGUAGGUUCGAAUCCUACCUGAGGAGCCA